rnacentral:rRNA from 1 species
AGUAUCUUCCAUACCUGGAAUGGAUACAUCGGUCCCUUCAAGAACUCCAUCCAUCGCCUAUUCAACGGAAAAAAGGAUUCCAUCAGUAUCGAUUCUAUACGCAACGAAGAGAAGACAUCGGCGUUUUGCGCAAUCUCUUCUAUGCAAAUAAGGUGAAAGGUAUUCCAACGGAGAUUCAAACCUAUCUCAUGGAUCCGCUCACCCUCGCCGUCUGGUAUCAAGAUGAUGGAACUCUAGACUUCCGACGUGGCUAUCAUGCCAACGCAUUGUUUGCAACUCACUGCUUCACGCAGAAUGAAUGUCAAUUAUUGGCGAAUGCACUAAGCAUGAACUUCGAACUGGACAUUCGCGUCUGUCGAUGUCUCAUGCGAGGAAAACUUUAUUUCCGUCUGUAUGUCUGCUCAAAAAGCAUGGACAGGUUCAUGCACAUUAUUGAGCCAUACAUCCAGCCGUGCUUUCACUAUAAGCUAGUGAAAUUUCGCGCAAUCUAGCCAGCAGCAGCGGUAAUACAGAGACCUCAAGCGUUAUCCGGAUUUAUUGGGCGUAAAGGGUCCGUAGGUGGUUUUUUUAGUCAUUCGUUAAAUCUUCAGGCUUAACCUGAAGGCCGCGGGUGAUACUGGAAAACUAGAGGAUGGGAGAGGCAGAUGGAAUUGCUGGUGUAGCGGUAAAAUGCGUUAAUAUCAGCAAGAACACCAAAGGCGAAAGCAAUCUGCUGGAACAUUCCUGACACUGAGGGACGAAAGCGUGGGUAGCGAAUGGGAUUAGAUACCCCAGUAGUCCACGCCGUAAACGAUGAGUGCUAGAUUUUGGGGGUAUCGACCCCCCCAGAGUCGACGAACCUAGUUAACACAUUAAGCACUCCGCCUGGGUAGUACGAGCGCAAGCUUAAAACCUAAAGGAAUAGACGGGGACCCGCACAAGCGGUGGAGCGUGUGGUUUAAUUCGACAGUAAGCGAGGAACCUUACCUGGGCUUAAAGUCUGGCUGCAAGCCGUCCGAAAGGAUGGCCGCCUUCGAGGGUGCCAGAAAUGGUGCUGCAUGGUUGUCGUCAGCUCGUGGCGUGAGCUGUUCCCUUAAGUGGGGUAACGAGCGCAACCCCUGUCCUGCGUUAUACUUUCGCAGGAGACUGCCUUCGUAAGAAGGAGGAAGGUGGGGAUGACGUCAAAUCAGCAUGGCCCUUACGUCCAGGGCGACACACGCGCUACAAUGGCCAGUACAAUGGGUUGCCAAACCGCGAGGUGGAGCUAAUCCCAAAAAGCUGGUCGUAGUUCAGAUUGGAGUCUGCAAUUCGACUCCAUGAAGCUGGAAUCGCUAGUAACGGCCAAUCAGCCACGUGGCCGUGAAUACGUUCUCGGGUCUUGUACUCACCGCCCGUCACGUCAAGAGAGCUGGUAACACCCGAACGUCGCCGUAGGGCGGCGGAAGGUGGGACUGGUAAUAGGGACGAAGUCGUAACAAGGCACCCGUAGCGGAAGCUGUGGGUG